rnacentral:rRNA from 1 species
AGUGAACGCUGGCGGUAGGCCUAACACAUGCAAGUCGAACGGCAGCACAGUAAGAGCUUGCUCUUACGGGUGGCGAGUGGCGGACGGGUGAGGAAUACAUCGGAAUCUACUUUUUCGUGGGGGAUAACGUAGGGAAACUUACGCUAAUACCGCACACGACCUACGGGUGAAAGCAGGGGAUCUUCGGACCUUGCGCGAUUGAAUGAGCCGAUGUCGGAUUAGCUAGUUGGCGGGGUAAAGGCCCACCAAGGCGACGAUCCGUAGCUGGUCUGAGAGGAUGAUCAGCCACACUGGAACUGAGACACGGUCCAGACUCCUACGGGAGGCAGCAGUGGGGAAUAUUGGACAAUGGGCGCAAGCCUGAUCCAGCCAUACCGCGUGGGUGAAGAAGGCCUUCGGGUUGUAAAGCCCUUUUGUUGGGAAAGAAAAGCAGCAGGUUAAUACCCCGCUGUUCUGACGGUACCCAAAGAAUAAGCGCCGGCUAACUUCGUGC